rnacentral:rRNA from 1 species
AUUGAACGCUGGCGGCAGGCCUAACACAUGCAAGUCGAGCGAGCGGCGGACGGGUGAGUAAUGUAUGGGGACUGCCCGAUAGCGGGGGAUCACUACUGGAAACGGUAGCUAAUACCGCAUACUAUCGGAUAACCCAUAUGGGAUUAGCUAGUAGGUGAGGUAAUGGCUCACCUAGGCGACGAUCCCUAGCUGGUCUGAGAGGAUGAUCAGCCAAACUGGGAUGGAGACACGGCCCAGACUCCUACGGAGGCAGCAGUGGGUAAUAUUGCACAAUGGGCGCAAGCCUGAUGCAGCCAUGCCGCGUGGAUGAUGAAGGCCUUCGGGUUGUAAAGUCCUUUUGGCAGAGAAGCGGUAUCUGCAGAAUAAGCACCGGCUAACUACGUGCCAGCAGCCGCGGUAAUAC